UGUCUUAUAUGUCUAAAUCAUCUCAUAUCCUUGUAUCUAUACACCCAUGGUAGGGAAGGAAAGAAUAUGGAAGAAGUGUGAGACAACAUAAGGUAAUUGAAUUUUAUCCUUGCUUAGGGAUAAGGUUUCUAAUCAGGUUAGCACUAAUCACCAUUCUUAAGUAAUGGCUAUUUCAAAUAAUUAAUGAUUGUGCCAGAUUAUUUUCCCUCCCUUUCAAAAGUAGUCUCUAGAACUUUAUACUCAAUAUUUGUGUCCAUCUAACCAAAUACGUCCCCUCAGACACAUCAUAUCCCUUAAAUCUCAGUUGUUUCUAUGUAUCAUACAUAAUAUCCUAAAUUAGAUCUUCUUUUCUCACUUUGAAAAAUUCUCACGUCAAAGCUUAUUCACUCCUUGAUCAUUCAAAGUUCUUACUCCUACUAUUAUUUUUGUUAUCCUAUCUCCAAAAGAGACUUUCAUUUUAGCUAUGAGCAAAAAAGGUAGUUCAAGCCUGUCCUCUAGGAGGCUAAAUGACCCACUUGAAAGUAAUGAUGAUAAAGAUGUGAGACCUUCACAUGUUCUUGAAGAAUCAAUAGACAUUCUAAGAGCAUGUAUAAUUAUAGCAAGGAUAGUGAGAUUAAGCGCCUGCUUGAAAGAUUGAGUAACUAUAAGGGGUAAAUUAAUUAAAUCUGAUUAUGAGGAGUACAUUACUGAUGUAAGGGAAAACAAGAGAAGAAGAGAGGAGGUAUUUCCAAAGAAAGAGAAGAGAAAAGGAUUGGAACAAGUUGAUAUCGAAGGACUAGACUCCAACUGUAUCAUCUCAAGAGUAGCAAGGAAAAAGACUUUUAAUAAUAGAAACUCCUCUAGGGAAGAGUUUUUGACUCUGCUAAAGGAUAUAUGAUUGGAGUUACAUGACUUGGUAAAGUUUUAAAAUUGGGAACAAUUAUUUGUAUUAAUUGUACCUCAAGUGUAUAAGAAUUAAGUGAGGAUGUUUUAUCAAAACUUGGAAAUUUCAGAUGAUAGUCUAUACCUGAUCUCUUAGGUCAAUGGUAUGGCUUUGGGAUUCGAUGAAGAGAUACUCUCUAAAAGUCAUAGUGUUCCAAAUUUAGGUGCCAGGUCUGUAACAUCUAAGAAGGGGUCUCCUUAGUUCUUGAAACUAUGUGGUAUAUUUUAUGACUUACUCACUGAAGACUCUGACAAAAAGGCUCUCAAGGAAGAAUUUCAGGUGUUGUUUGAGCUUGUGACAAAUGCACUACUUCCUAGAUUUGACAAGGAGACUACUCUGAUAAGUGCUAAACUAUUUUUAAUGAAAAUAUUGUUUAAGUACGAGACAAUUAACCUACCAUCCAUUAUUAUUGAGCAUAUGAAAUUUUUCCUUAAUGACAAAGCUAGAAGGGAUGGACUACACUAUAGAAUUUGCUUGAAUAGAGUCUUGAAUUUGUAAAGGGAAGAUAAUGUGGAAACAAACUUAGAAAAAGAUGUGCGUACUGCAAUUGAUGCCCUGCAGAAAAGGGUGGAGGAUCCUGAAACUAAGCAUGUUUGUGUUAAAUGCUCUUUCAUAGAAUCUAAUCUUACCUAGUUUCAUAUCCUUGACUUCUCAUUAAGUCCUAUUAACUUUUUUUCUCCUUUUGUUUUUGUUCCUCAUUGCACAAUUGUUUUUAUAUUUUGUGGUUAUUAUUUUUGUAAUUGGUUUUUGGUACUACCUUAUGCAUGAAAGAUUGAAAUUUAUUUUGUGCUCAUUACCUCUCAUAUUUAUAUCUAAUGUUCUCUUGAUCAUGUAAGUGAUGCCUCAAUGGCCAUGAAUUAACAUGUAUGGGUUAUCUAUGUCUGUUUUACUGCCUAACCUUUUUGAUGAUGUCAAAAGGGGGAAAUUGUGUGUAGUGUAGCCUAAUUGGUAUGGUGUGGUAUGUUGAUAAAGAUAGGGAUUCUCUCAUUCAUGUGGAACUUAAUUCUCACUAACAGGGGGCAAUAGGUUAGAGGUUGUUUGUAGUCUUAUAGGCACCAGUUAUAGGGGGAAUUGGUUGGGCAACCUGGUCUGACAUGUUGUCUUAUGGAUUAUUUUGUGUUUCUUAGGUGUAGGUUGUGCUGUGUAGAAGUUGAUGAAGAUGCUGAGUAUUCAGAUUUCAUUGUAUGGGUUUGUCAUCAUUACAAAGAGGGAAAUUGUUAAUCCCUUAGUUUUGAUGAUUGACAAAUUCAUAGUUUGGGAUCUGCUCCCUGGGUUUUUGUGCUGACAAAAUCUUCUACACUUUAGGGAACAGAUUGGGCUCAUCUGUUGCUGUCACAGUCAAGUGUGCAGUUGACACAUAGUACAAAAGUUGGUGUAAAGCUUCUACCACCUUUUUUCCUCAACUAAUGAGAUUUCUCCAAGGUUUUCUUGUAUCAUAAUAUAUAUUGCUCAUCUUCCUCAACAAAAAAAUCAACACUUCCAUAUACUCAUAAUUAAAAAUAUUUUUUUUAGUGCUGCAGUGCUACAUUAAAGGCUGGAACUAUAACAAGGAACCUAUUGUUUAUCAAGUUGUAUCUUUAUUUCCUUUUUAUAGUUUGGUCUUGUAUUUUGUACUUAAAUGCUUGACUACUCUUUCUUAUGAUUGUAG
rnacentral:lncRNA from 1 species